UCCAAACUCAUACAGCAUGCAGUGGGUGUGGAGGCUCUUUUUCCUGCUGGCAGCUGCCCAAAGUGUCCAAACACAGAUCCAGCUGGUGCAGUCAGGACCUGAGCUGAAGCAGCCUGGACAGUCAGUGAAGAUCUCCUGCAAGGCGUCAGGGUAUACCUUCACAGAUUAUUCAAUGCACUGGGUGAAACAGGCUCCAGGACAGGGUCUAAAGUGGAUGGGCUGGAUCGAUACCAACACUGGGAAUCCAACAUAUGCUGACGACUUCAAAGGACGGUUUGUCUUCUCUUUGGACACCUCUAUCAGCACUGCCUAUCUGCAGAUCAGCAGCCUCAAGAAUGAUGAUACAGCCAUGUAUUACUGUGCGAGACACAGUGUGAAAAACCACAUCCUGAGGGUGUCAGAAACUCUGAGGGAAGGUGGCUCUUCUCUGCCAAGACAGCAACGGGGAAUAUAUCCUGACCUCUUCCUUGGACUAGCUGGGAACAGAGGAUGCCGCCCUGUCGAGUGCGCCGCUCUUUUUCCAGGGAUAGGACGAUUACGAGGGCAACCUAUAUGCUCGACAUCUUGUUCCCCUGAGUGGAUAGGCUCAGUGCACUCUCAGGUGCAAACUAUCCGGAAUAGUCUCUGA